GCAAGGAGCACAAAAUUCACACAAGGAAAUAUGUUCCAGGACGAUCGUUCCUGGGGCUAAGUAUCCCAAAAAUCAAAAAGAAUCAAAGCCUCCUGACUAAACGGAGCACAGAUACAAUGCAGACCGUUCCUCAACCAAGGCUACAAGUUUCCACUGCUUGGAUUGAUCAGGGGAGUUCUUGCAGAACAGUCCAGACACAGUGUGCUGCAUUAUUCCAGCAAUGCUGUGCUCUUCACAGGCAAAGGAUCAAAUACCCACAAUAAAAGAACUGCAUUAAAAGAACUGCAAUCCUCAAAAAGAGACUUCAACAAUGUUAAAGAGCACAUCUUA